UCCCUAGUGGUCCAGUGGUUAGGGCUCAGAACUUCCACUGCCGGGGUCCAGGUUCAAUCCCUGGUUGGGGAA